AGGGAAUCUUCGGCAAUGGACGGAAGUCUGACCGAGCAACGCCGCGUGAGUGAAGAAGGUUUUCGGAUCGUAAAGCUCUGUUGUAAGAGAAGAACGAGUGUGAGAGUGGAAAGUUCACACUGUGACGGUACCUUACCAGAAAGGGACGGCUAACUACGUGCCAGCAGCCGCGGUAAUACGUAGGUCCCGAGCGUUGUCCGGAUUUAUUGGGCGUAAAGCGAGCGCAGGCGGUUAGAUAAGUCUGAGGUUAAAGGCUGUGGCUUAACCAUAGUACGCUUUGGAAACUGUUUAACUUGAGUGCAAGAGGGGAGAGUGGAAUUCCAUGUGUAGCGGUGAAAUGCGUAGAUAUAUGGAGGAACACCGGUGGCGAAAGCGGCUCUCUGGCUUGUAACUGACGCUGAGGCUCGAAAGCGUGGGAGCAAACAGGAUUAGAUACCCUGGUAGUCCACGCCGUAAACGAUGAGUGCUAGGUGUUAGACCCUUUCCGGGGUUUAGUGCCGUAGCUAACGCAUUAAGCACUCCGCCUGGGGAGUACGACCGCAAGGUUG
rnacentral:rRNA from 1 species